rnacentral:ncRNA from 2 species
CAGCAAAGCUAGGGGUGCCCAAAUAUUCGGGCUGAGAAACACCCUUAGAACCUGAGUCUGGGUAAUACCAGCGGAGGGAAGCUGUUUAUUGAGGAA